ACUUAUAAAAUUAACCAUAGCCAAUAUAAAACAUACAAACUUAAUAAUAAUUCUAAUGUGACAGGAGUAAAGCUUCAUUUAGAAUCUUACAUAAUGAAUGGUUUUCAUUCGAUAGUAGUCAUUUCAGAAUAAUAUUUU